rnacentral:misc_RNA from 1 species
AGCAGCCGCGGUAAUUCCAGCUCCAAUAGCGUAUAUUAAAGUUGUUGCAGUUAAAAAGCUCGUAGUUGAAUUUCGGGAUCAAUAUUUCGGUCAUGCCGUUGGUAAGCACUGUUAUCAUUGAUUUCUCACCUUCUAAAGAACCGUAAUGCCAUUAAUUUGGUGUUACGGGGAAUUAGGACUGUUACCUUGAAAAAAUUAGAGUGUUUAAAGCAGGCUCACGCUUGAAUACAUUAGCAUGGAAUAAUGAAAUAGGACAUCCGAUUCUAUUUUGUUGGUUUCUAGGAUCGAUGUAAUGAUUAAUAGGGAUAGUUGGGGGCAUUAGUAUUCAAUUGUCAGAGGUGAAAUUCUUGGAUUUAUGAAGACUAACUACUGCGAAAGCAUUUGCCAAGGAUGUUUUCAUUAAUCAAGAACGAAAGUUAGGGGAUCGAAGACGAUCAGAUACCGUCGUAGUCUUAACCAUAAACUAUGCCGACUAGGGAUCGGAUGACGUUAAUUUUUAAUGACUCAUUCGGCGCCUUAA